UACAGAGGUCUCAAGCGUUGUUCGGAUUCAUUGGGCGUAAAGGGUGCGUAGGUGGCGCCGUAAGUCAGGUGUGAAAUUUCGGAGCUUAACUCCGAAACUGCAUUUGAUACUGCGGUGCUUGAGGACUGGAGAGGAGACUGGAAUUCACGGUGUAGCAGUGAAAUGCGUAGACAUCGUGAGGAAGACCAGUGGCGAAGGCGGGUCUCUGGACAGUUCCUGACACUGAGGCACGAAGGCCAGGGGAGCAAACGGG
rnacentral:rRNA from 1 species